GUCCACGCUGUAAACGAUGCGCACUAGGUGUCGGGGGUAUCGACCCCCUCGGUGCCGCAGCUAACGCGAUAAGUGUGCCGCCUGGGGACUACGGCCGCAAGGCUAAAACUCAAAGGAAUUGACGGGGGCCCCGCACAAGCAGCGGAGCGUGUGGUUUAAUUCGACGCAACGCGAAGAACCUUACCUGGGCUUGACAUGCACGUGGUACGAGGUGGAAACACCGAGGACCCGCAAGGGAGCGUGCACAGAUGCUGCAUGGCUGUCGU
rnacentral:rRNA from 1 species